rnacentral:rRNA from 1 species
CGGUUUAAUUGGAUUCAACGCCGGAAAUCUUACCGGACCGACAGCAAUAUGAAGGCCAGGCUGAAGACUUUGCCGGAUUAGCUGAGAGGUGGUGCAUGGCCGUCGUCAGUUCGUACUGUGAAGCAUCCUGUUAAGUCAGGCAACGAGCGAGACCCACGCCCACAGUUGCCAGCGUACUCUCCGGAGUGACGGGUACACUGUGGGGACCGCCGCUGCUAAAGCGGAGGAAGGAAUGGGCAACGGUAGGUCAGUAUGCCCCGAAUAUCCCGGGCUACACGCGAGCUACAAUGGUUGGUACAAUGGGUAUCUACCCCGAAAGGGGACGGGAAUCUCCUAAAACCAAUCUUAGUUCGGAUUGAGGGCUGCAACUCGCCCUCAUGAAGCUGGAAUCCGUAGUAAUCGCGUUUCAACAGAACGCGGUGAAUACGUCCCUGCUCCUU